AAACAGUUGGAAUCACUUGAUUUGUCAGGAAACCAAUUAUCCGGAGUAAUUCCUAUCACAAUGGCUGAUCUAAAUUUUCUGGCUUUCUUGAACCUCUCCAACAAUCACUUGUCGGGGAGGAUUCCGUUAAGCACUCAGCUGCAAGGCUUUAAUGCUUCACAAUUUACCGGUAACCUUGCAUUGUGCGGGAAGCCACUCUUACAGAAAUGCCCUGGAGAUGAGACGAACCAAAGCCCACCUCCUAAUGAUGACAACCGAGGCAAAGAAGUCGUCGCUGAUGAAUUCAUGAAAUGGUUUUGUACUGCUAUGGGAAUUGGUUUUAGUGUAUUCUUUUGGGGAGUUUCAGGUGCUUUACUGUUAAAACGUUCCUGGAGACAUGCCUAUUUCCGGUUCUUGGAUGAAUCUUGGGACUGGCUCUAUGUGAAGGUAGCAGUGCGCAAGGCACGACUUCAACGAGAAUUUCUGAGGCUACACGAGCACGCUCUUGCUUAGAAGGAUUGCAAGGAGCAGCUGGGUGCAUAACAGGUCCUCUUUGUCCAAUGAGUUCGUAUUGUUUGUGAACGUGUUUGCUGGAGCUACAUCAUCCUUUACCUUGGCAACUUCAUCUUCGUCUACUACUACUAGUUUGAAAUUGUUGGAGUUGUUGAAGUGGUGGCACCAAAGCUGGAGUUUAUUCUGCAACGUUUCUUUUCAAAUUAUUUAUCUUAAUCUUGUUUGAAUCUGUAGAAUUUAAACUUAUCUCGGAUAAGUCUAGUUAGUUAUAUAUAUCUCUUCAGAUAAAGGAGAUGAUGGUUGUUAUUUGAUUCUUGUCUUCUGUAGUGUUUGAUUUCUUCUAUAACUAAAACUGGAGGGAUGGCAGUAACCUCACCCCUUGUGUUUCUGCUCUUA